AUUCAGCUGACGUGUCCCAGAAAGGACGAAACGCGCGUUCGGAUU
rnacentral:hammerhead_ribozyme from 1 species